GGAGGGAGCGAGCGUUGUUCGGAAUCACUGGGCGUAAAGGGCGCGUAGGCGGCCGAGUAAGUCGUGUGUGAAAGACCGGGGCUCAACUCCGUGUACUGCAUGCGAUACUGCCCGGCUAGAGAAAGGUAGAGGCGAGUGGAAUUCCCGGUGUAGCGGUGGAAUGCGUAGAUAUCGGGAAGAACACCUGUGGCGAAGGCGGCUCGCUGGGCCUUUUCUGACGCUGAAGUGCGAAAGCGUGGGGGAGCAAACAGGAUUAGAUACCCUGGUAGUCCACGCCGUAAACGAUGGGCACUAGGCGCUGGGAGGAUUGACCCUCUCAGUGCCGUAGCUAACGCGUUAAGUGCCCCCGCCUGGGAGUACGGCCGCAAGGCUG
rnacentral:rRNA from 1 species